AACUAGGAGAACCCUAUUUUUACUAGCAUAUGAAAUCAAAAUCAGUGGCCAUAGAGAUGACAAAGGCAUCUUGUUCAGUAACAUGGAAGAAUAUGCAAAGAUAACCACUAUUACAUUCAAAGUGAGACAUCUAAGUAUUUGAAAUGACAUAUGGAAAUCAAAGCCCCCAUGGAGCACUCCGCCUGCAGAAGUGAUUCCAACACUGGAACAAAGUGACAUUACAAAACAGAAUUGGGCCAUUUGGUAGAUCAGUAGUUUUUCCAAUAGUGGAAGCAGAAGCAGAUGAUCAUAGGGGUGUGAGAAGGGAAAGACCCUCAGUCAUCUCAACAAUCCACCUCAACAGUCUCAACAAGAUGAGGCACUACUCCAUUUUGCUGUGUUCAUCUUAGGCCUCCAUACUGGCUUCUGUAAUUGUAUUUU